rnacentral:rRNA from 1 species
GAUGAACGCUGGCGGCGUGCCUAAUACAUGCAAGUCGAGCGAACAGACGAGGAGCUUGCUCCUCUGACGUUAGCGGCGGACGGGUGAGAACACGUGGAUAACCUACCUAUAAGACUGGGAUAACUUCGGGAAACCGGAGCUAAUACCGGAUAAUAUAUUGAACCGCAUGGUUCAAUAGUGAAAGACGGUUUUGCUGUCACUUAUAGAUGGAUCCGCGCCGCAUUAGCUAGUUGGUAAGGUAACGGCUUACCAAGGCAACGAUGCGUAGCCGACCUGAGAGGGUGAUCGGCCACACUGGAACUGAGACACGGUCCAGACUCCUACGGGAGGCAGCAGUAGGGAAUCUUCCGCAAUGGGCGAAAGCCUGACGGAGCAGCGCCGCGUGAGUGAUGAAGGUCUUCGGAUCGUAAAACUCUGUUAUUAGGGAAGAACAAAUGUGUAAGUAACUAUGCACGUCUUGACGGUACCUAAUCAGAAAGCCACGGCUAACUACGUG